GAUGAACGCUGGCGGCGUGCCUAAUACAUGCAAGUCGAGCGAACAGAUAAGGAGCUUGCUCCUUUGCCGUUGGCGGCGGACGGGUGAGUAACACGUGGAUAACCUACCUAUAAGACUGGGAUAACUUCGGGAAACCGGAGCUAAUACCGGAUAACAUAUUGAACCGCAUGGUUCAAUAGUGAAAGGCGGCUUUGCUGUCACAUAUAGAUGGAUCCGUGCCGUAUUAGCUAGUUGGUAAGGUAACGGCUUACCAAGGCAACGAUACGUAGCCGACCUGAGAGGGUGAUCAGCCACACUGGAACUGAGACACGGUCCAGACUCCUACGGGAGGCAGCAGUAGGGAAUCUUCCGCAAUGGGCGAAAGCCUGACGGAGCAACGCCGCGUGAGUGAUGAAGGUCUUCGGGUCGUAAAACUCUGUUAUCAGGGAAGAACAGAUGUGUAAGUAACUGUGCACAUCUUGACGGUACCUGAUCAGAAAGCCACGGCUAACUACGUG
rnacentral:rRNA from 1 species